UCUUCUUCUUCAUCUCCAUCCUUCAUCCUCUCAAAGAAGAAUCAAAAGUUGAGUGCUUCGAGGGAGAAAAGUUCAGCCACUGCAGCAUCUCUGCGCGAGCUAGCACUUCUGCAGUUGUGGAUCAUCCUAGAGAUUCGCGUGGACUAUCCGUAGGGGCCGGAUGUGUGUGCGGCUACAGAAGAGAUCAAGGCAUCAUCAAAGUCCUCAAA
rnacentral:lncRNA from 1 species